CCUACGGGGGGCUGCAGUGAGGAAUAUUGGUCAAUGGGCGGAAGCCUGAACCAGCCAAGUAGCGUGCGGGAUGACGGCCCUACGGGUCGUAACCCGCUUUUUCACGGGGGUAACACCCUCCACUUGUGGAGGUCUGCAGGUACCGUUCGAAUAAGGGCCGGCUAAUUCCGUGCCAGCAGCCGCGGUAAUACGGAAGGCCCGAGCGUUAUCCGGAUUCCUUGGGGUUAAAGGGAGGGUAGGCGGGAGGUAAAGUCAGCUGGAAAAUCGCGCGGCUCAACCGCGCACCGCAGUUGAAACUGGAGGCCUUGAGGUCACAAGAGGUAGGCGGAAUGCGGGGGGUAGCGGUGAAAUGAAUAGAUAUCACGAGGAACCCCGAUGGCGAAGGCAGCCUGCCGGGGUGCGACUGACGCUGAGGCUCGAAGGUGCGGGUAGCAAACAGGAUUAGAUACCCCGGUAGUC
rnacentral:rRNA from 1 species